CGCUCCCCAAACGACUUGGAGUUGCAGGUAGGCGACAAGUGAGUUCAUCCCCAUGAGCAUAGAUAAACUAUGUGAUUGGGGUGAACGAACGCCGCCAACACCGCUGCAGCUUCAAGUAGGAAGGG
rfam:Vibrio cholerae O1 biovar eltor str. N16961 chromosome I, complete sequence.